GGUAAACUUUUGAGAUUGGAACUCGUUUUAUUUUUUUGGGCUGAGCAGAAUAAUACACUUAAAUAUUGAAAAUAUUCAUUGGUGUACGCCGGACUCGAACCCGGUCCAAUGCUUUGGUAAGCAAGGGCCGGAUCCGAUAGAGCUACUGCGCGCCUAAAUUUUAUUUAAAUAAUUUUUUAUUUCAAAAAAUUUUAUAAAUUUCAAG